rnacentral:rRNA from 1 species
UACGAAGGGGGCUAGCGUUGCUCGGAAUCACUGGGCGUAAAGCGCACGUAGGCGGACUCUUAAGUCGGUGGUGAAGUCCUGGAGCUCAACUCCAGAACUGCCUUCGAUACUGAGAGUCUUGAGUCCGAGAGAGGUGAGUGGAACUGCGAGUGUAGAGGUGAAAUUCGUAGAUAUUCGCAAGAACACCAGUGGCGAAGGCGGCUCACUGGCUCGGUACUGACGCUGAGGUGCGAAAGCGUGGGGAGCAAACAGG